rnacentral:rRNA from 1 species
GAACCCCUGUGAGGGGAGUGAAAUAGAACCUGAAACCGUGUACGUACAAGCAGUAGGAGCACCUUCGUGGUGUGACUGCGUACCUUUUGUAUAAUGGGUCAGCGACUUAUAUUCAGUGGCAAGGUUAACCAUCUAGGGGAGCCGUAGGGAAACCGAGUCUUAACUGGGCGUUCAGUCUCUGGAUAUAGACCCGAAACCAGGUGAUCUAGCCAUGGGCAGGUUGAAGGUUGAGUAACAUCAACUGGAGGACCGAACCGACUAAUGUUGAAAAAUUAGCGGAUGACUUGUGGCUAGGGGUGAAAGGCCAAUCAAACCUGGAGAUAGCUGGUUCUCCCCGAAAGCUAUUUAGGUAGCGCCUCGGACGAAUACUACUGGGGGUAGAGCACUGUUAAGGCUAGGGGGUCAUCCCGACUUACCAACCCUUUGCAAACUCCGAAUACCAGUAAGUACUAUCCGGGAGACACACGGCGGGUGCUAACGUCCGUCGUGGAGAGGGAAACAACCCAGACCGCCAGCUAAGGUCCCAAAUUAUAGCUAAGUGGGAAACGAUGUGGGAAGGCUUAGACAGCUAGGAUGUUGGCUUAGAAGCAGCCAUCAUUUAAAGAAAGCGUAAUAGCUCACUAGUCGAGUCGGCCUGCGCGGAAGAUGUAACGGGGCUAAGCUAUAAACCGAAGCUGCGGCAAUGAAGUUUACUUCAUUGGGUAGGGGAGCGUUCUGUAAGCCGUUGAAGGUGUGUUGUAAAGCAUGCUGGAGGUAU